rnacentral:rRNA from 1 species
UGGGGAAUAUUGCACAAUGGGCGCAAGCCUGAUGCAGCAACGCCGCGUGAACGAUGAAGGUCUUCGGAUCGUAAAGUUCUGUUGCAGGGGAAGAUAAUGACGGUACCCUGUGAGGAAGCCCCGGCUAACUACGUGCCAGCAGCCGCGGUAAUACGUAGGGGGCUAGCGUUAUCCGGAUUUACUGGGCGUAAAGGGUGCGUAGGUGGUCCUUCAAGUCGGUGGUUAAAGGCUACGGCUCAACCGUAGUAAGCCGCCGAAACUGGAGGACUUGAGUGCAGGAGAGGAAAGUGGAAUUCCCAGUGUAGCGGUGAAAUUCGUAGAUAUUCGGAGGAACACCAGUGGCGAAGGCGGCUCACUGGCUCGAUACUGACGCUGAGGUGCGAAAGCGUGGGGAGCAAACAGG